AAAAGAAGAAAAUUGUAAGGAACAAGAUCUUUUGAGAUCCAUUUCUUUUUUACUUUGGCAGCUUUUUUUUGUUUUUGGUUGGUUACAUGUGGCCGCCCUCUAAUUUCCAUCAUCUCUUCUAGAGAAGCUUCAAAGAUCUUCCCUGCAAGAAUGAGCUAGCAUGCUUGAGAUAUCGCCAUCAGAUGAUAUUUUGAUGUUAAAAAGGCAGACAGAACCUUGGAUUAAUGAAUUAGGCCAAGUACCUGAAAAUGAGUAGCUGAAAAACCCUGUGAAUAAUCCAAUACACUCUCCAUCGAAGCUUGGUUGUUGGAGAGAGCAGAAUUAUUCUGCUAUAUAUUGUAAAAAAUAAACAACAAAGCAAGGUUAAUAUCAAGAAUAAUGAAGGUAUGAUACAAAACGUGAGAAUUCUCUAAUUGGCAUUCUAUAUGUAGAAAAUAUUGCUAUAAGGCUGUAUGUUUAUGAACAAACCAUGGAGAAGUUGAAAGCUGGAGAGCUAGCAGUAUCGUCAAGAAAAGAAGGCAUUUGUUGA